rnacentral:rRNA from 1 species
AGAAAUCAACCGAGAUUCCCCCAGUAGCGGCGAGCGAACGGGGAGCAGCCCAGAGCCUGAAUCAGUGUGUGUGUUAGUGGAAGCGUCUGGAAAGGCGCGCGAUACAGGGUGACAGCCCCGUACACAAAAAUGCACAUGCUGUGAGCUCGAUGAGUAGGGCGGGACACGUGGUAUCCUGUCUGAAUAUGGGGGGACCAUCCUCCAAGGCUAAAUACUCCUGACUGACCGAUAGUGAACCAGUACCGUGAGGGAAAGGCGAAAAGAACCCCGGCGAGGGGAGUGAAAAAGAACCUGAAACCGUGUACGUACAAGCAGUGGGAGCCUCUUUAUGGGGUGACUGCGUACCUUUUGUAUAAUGGGUCAGCGACUUAUAUUCUGUAGCAAGGUUAACCGAAUAGGGGAGCCGAAGGGAAACCGAGUCUUAACUGGGCGUUAAGUUGCAGGGUAUAGACCCGAAACCCGGUGAUCUAGCCAUGGGCAGGUUGAAGGUUGGGUAACACUAACUGGAGGACCGAACCGACUAAUGUUGAAAAAUUAGCGGAUGACUUGUGGCUGGGGGUGAAAGGCCAAUCAAACCGGGAGAUAGCUGGUUCUCCCCGAAAGCUAUUUAGGUAGCGCCUCGUGAAUUCAUCUCCGGGGGUAGAGCACUGUUUCGGCAAGGGGGUCAUCCCGACUUACCAACCCGAUGCAAACUGCGAAUACCGGAGAAUGUUAUCACGGGAGACACACGGCGGGUGCUAACGUCCGUCGUGAAGAGGGAAACAACCCAGACCGCCAGCUAAGGUCCCAAAGUCAUGGUUAAGUGGGAAACGAUGUGGGAAGGCCCAGACAGCCAGGAUGUUGGCUUAGAAGCAGCCAUCAUUUAAAGAAAGCGUAAUAGCUCACUGGUCGAGUCGGCCUGCGCGGAAGAUGUAACGGGGCUAAACCAUGCACCGAAGCUGCGGCAGCGACACUAUGUGUUGUUGGGUAGGGGAGCGUUCUGUAAGCCUGUGAAGGUGUACUGUGAGGUAUGCUGGAGGUAUCAGAAGUGCGAAUGCUGACAUAAGUAACGAUAAAGCGGGUGAAAAGCCCGCUCGCCGGAAGACCAAGGGUUCCUGUCCAACGUUAAUCGGGGCAGGGUGAGUCGACCCCUAAGGCGAGGCCGAAAGGCGUAGUCGAUGGGAAACAGGUUAAUAUUCCUGUACUUGGUGUUACUGCGAAGGGGGGACGGAGAAGGCUAUGUUGGCCGGGCGACGGUUGUCCCGGUUUAAGCGUGUAGGCUGGUUUUCCAGGCAAAUCCGGAAAAUCAAGGCUGAGGCGUGAUGACGAGGCACUACGGUGCUGAAGCAACAAAUGCCCUGCUUCCAGGAAAAGCCUCUAAGCAUCAGGUAACAUCAAAUCGUACCCCAAACCGACACAGGUGGUCAGGUAGAGAAUACCAAGGCGCUUGAGAGAACUCGGGUGAAGGAACUAGGCAAAAUGGUGCCGUAACUUCGGGAGAAGGCACGCUGAUAUGUAGGUGAAGCGACUUGCUCGUGGAGCUGAAAUCAGUCGAAGAUACCAGCUGGCUGCAACUGUUUAUUAAAAACACAGCACUGUGCAAACACGAAAGUGGACGUAUACGGUGUGACGCCUGCCCGGUGCCGGAAGGUUAAUUGAUGGGGUUAGCGGUAACGCGAAGCUCUUGAUCGAAGCCCCGGUAAACGGCGGCCGUAACUAUAACGGUCCUAAGGUAGCGAAAUUCCUUGUCGGGUAAGUUCCGACCUGCACGAAUGGCGUAAUGAUGGCCAGGCUGUCUCCACCCGAGACUCAGUGAAAUUGAACUCGCUGUGAAGAUGCAGUGUACCCGCGGCAAGACGGAAAGACCCCGUGAACCUUUACUAUAGCUUGACACUGAACAUUGAGCCUUGAUGUGUAGGAUAGGUGGGAGGCUUUGAAGUGUGGACGCCAGUCUGCAUGGAGCCGGCCUUGAAAUACCACCCUUUAAUGUUUGAUGUUCUAACGUUGGCCCCUGAUCGGGGUUGCGGACAGUGUCUGGUGGGUAGUUUGACUGGGGCGGUCUCCUCCUAAAGAGUAACGGAGGAGCACGAAGGUUGGCUAAUCCUGGUCGGACAUCAGGAGGUUAGUGCAAUGGCAUAAGCCAGCUUGACUGCGAGCGUGACGGCGCGAGCAGGUGCGAAAGCAGGUCAUAGUGAUCCGGUGGUUCUGAAUGGAAGGGCCAUCGCUCAACGGAUAAAAGGUACUCCGGGGAUAACAGGCUGAUACCGCCCAAGAGUUCAUAUCGACGGCGGUGUUUGGCACCUCGAUGUCGGCUCAUCACAUCCUGGGGCUGAAGUAGGUCCCAAGGGUAUGGCUGUUCGCCAUUUAAAGUGGUACGCGAGCUGGGUUUAGAACGUCGUGAGACAGUUCGGUCCCUAUCUGCCGUGGGCGCUGGAGAACUGAGGGGGGCUGCUCCUAGUACGAGAGGACCGGAGUGGACGCAUCACUGGUGUUCGGGUUGUCAUGCCAAUGGCACUGCCCGGUAGCUAAAUGCGGAAGAGAUAAGUGCUGAAAGCAUCUAAGCACGAAACUUGCCCCGAGAUGAGUUCUCCCUGAGACUUAGAGUCUCCUGAAGGAACGUUGAAGACGACGACGUUGAUAGGCCGGGUGUGUAAGCGCAGCGAUGCGUUGAGCUAACCGGUACUAAUGAACCGUGAGGCUUAACCUU